rnacentral:rRNA from 1 species
CCCAUGCCGAACACAGAAGUUAAGCCUCUUAACGCCGAUGGUACUACGAUGGAAACGUCGUGGGAGAGUAGGUAGUCGCCAAAC